AUUGAACGCUGGCGGCAUGCUUUACACAUGCAAGUCGAGCGGCAGCGCGGGGGCAACCCUGGCGGCGAGCGGCGAACGGGUGAGUAAUGCAUCGGAACGUAUCCUCGAGUGGGGGAUAACCCAGCGAAAGUUGGGCUAAUACCGCAUGAGCUCUGAGGAGGAAAGCGGGGGACCUGCGAGGGCCUCGCGCUGGAGGAGCGGCCGAUGUCCGAUUAGCUAGUUGGUGGGGUAAAGGCUUACCAAAGCGACGAUCGGUAGCUGGUCUGAGAGGAUGAUCAGCCACACUGGGACUGAGACACGGCCCAGACUCCUACGGGAGGCAGCAGUGGGGAAUUUUGGACAAUGGGGGCAACCCUGAUCCAGCCAUGCCGCGUGAGUGAAGAAGGCCUUCGGGUUGUAAAGCUCUUUCGGACGGAACGAAAUGGGCGGGACUAAUACUCCUGUCUGAUGACGGUACCGUAAGAAGAAGCACCGGCUAACUACGUG
rnacentral:rRNA from 1 species